rfam:Camelus ferus unplaced genomic scaffold scaffold443, whole genome shotgun sequence.
GAGGGUAUAGCUCAGUGACAGAGCGCCUGCCCAGCAUGCGUGAGGUCCUGGGUUCAAUUCCCAGUACCUCCA